UACGAAGGGGGCUAGCGUUGCUCGGAAUCACUGGGCGUAAAGGGCGCGUAGGCGGCCAUUCAAGUCAGAGGUGAAAGCCCGGGGCUCAACCCCGGAACUGCCUUUGAAACUAGAUUGCUAGAAUCCUGGAGAGGUUAGUGGAAUUCCGAGUGUAGAGGUGAAAUUCGUAGAUAUUCGGAAGAACACCAGUGGCGAAGGCGACUAACUGGACAGGUAUUGACGCUGAGGGUGCGAAAGCGUGGGGGAGCAAACAGGG
rnacentral:rRNA from 1 species